ACUUGGAUCGAUCGAUUGAUUCAUAUGACUGAUGUUGGGUUUGACGAGUUCACCUUAACCCUAAUUCAGUCAGAACUCAUGAUAGAGGAACUCAAUCACAUAGGUAGCUGCAUCGAGAGAUUCAUCUUCAUUUCUGAUGGAUUACCACCAUAUACUGCUAGAUGUCACUGGUAGAUUUUGGGAGCAAUUGGAAUAAUCUUGAUGAUCGAUCAUUCUAAU
rnacentral:lncRNA from 1 species